GACGAACGCUGGCGGCGUGCCUAAUACAUGCAAGUAGGACGCAGUUGCGAACGGGUGAGUAACGCGUAGGUAACUGCCUAUUAGAGGGGGAUAACUAUUGGAAACGAUAGCUAAUACCGCAUAAUAGUAGAUGGACCUGCGUUGUAUUAGCUAGUAGGUAGGGUAAUGGCCUACCUAGGCAAGGAUACAUAGCCGACCGUAGAUGGGGAUCGGCCACACUGGGACUGAGAGACGGCCCAGACUCCUACGGGAGGCAGCAGUAGGGAAUCUUCGGCAAUGGGGGGAACACUGACCGCGAAAAGCCGCGUGAGUGAAGAAGGUUGUCGGAUCGUAAAGCUCUGUUGUUAAGGAAGCGGUACUUAACCAGAAAGGGACGGCUAACUACGUGCCAGCAGCCGCGGUAAUAC
rnacentral:rRNA from 1 species